CGCAAGACGACGACAGCGCGCAAGGUGUUCGGCGGGCUCACGCGGCUGUUCUCGUUGCUGGGUCGACGUAAGCGCUCGAUAGACUCGGGGUCGCUCUGUGACUUCCGCGAGCCCUGUCUGGCGCUCGAGGCGAUGGACGCUGGUAACCUGGAGCGGUGGAUUGAAAACAGGUUCCCCCAGUCGGACGGCGUCUGGAGGACGGUGCCGCGGCUCCGCGACCUGGUCGGCCAGCUGCGGCAGCUGCAGCUGGCCGAGCAACCGCUCGACCGGCUGCGACGCCAGCGCGUCUGUCGAGCCAUCGGCCGCCGCUGCCGCGCCGACGCCGCACGGACGUGAGGCCGUCGACGACGGCAGACGGGAUAGCACCGCGGACAGACGGGACAGCACCGUGGACAGACGGGACAGCGUCGCGGACAGACGGGACAGCACCGCGGACAGACGGGACAGCGCCGCGGACAGACGGGACAGCGCCGCGGACAGACGGGACAGCACCGCGGACAGACGGGACAGCACCGCGGAUCGACGGGACAGGACCGGGACAGAUGGGACAUACGGGACAGACCGGGACAGACGGGAUAGCACCGAAGAAAAACGGGACAGCAUCGGAAACAGACGGGACGGCACUGCACACGGACGGCACCAGGGACAUACGGGACAGCACCGCGGAUCGAUGGGGCAGCACCGGGACAGACGGGGCAGACCGGGACAGACGGGACAGCACCGGGGACAAGUGGAACAGCACCAGAGGACGGGACAAACGGGACUGGGGCGAAGGCAGACAGCAUAGCGCCGAGAAACAGAAGGGACAGUGUCUAGCAUAGCUGACAAGUGAAGUGCCUUACGAGACACUGGAGCAGUGAGACGCAAGCGACGUGAAAAACGACGGACAAUUUGUUGGCACCAGAGCAACAUGUGAUCAAACAGACGAGGGACAUGUGCGACAGCACUGGCGUGGGCAAAGUGCGAGGAAACAGACGCAGCAAUGCCCAGACGGACGAGAGGAGUGGGUGACCGAACGGGCGACGAGCACCAGACCUGACGUAACCUGACCUAACCUGGGACCCCGACGCGGGACACGCACAUCCGACCAUUUCGUGAAGGGACGUCGACAUUGCAUGUUACGCAGAGGCGCUUGACCGCGUGAGGGUCGUGUGGCAAGUUGACGCAUCCGCGCCCGUUGGUCGGAGCGCUCGGAAGCUGUGCUGCGCGGGGCGAGCAGCGCUCGGAGGGCGGAGCAGUUCCAGCCGGCGGUGCAGGGGAGCGCACCGAACCCGCUGGACACCGCCUGAGGACAACGGAGCUUGGUGUCUUUUGAGCUUUCCAUCGCGUGGUUACGUGCGGUAUUUAAGGUUAGGGCGCGUUAAGAUUUGACGUUAUUGGCUACGCCAGAGCUUCACGGGCCCUUGUCCCGUGCGAGCGUCACGGGCCCUUGUCCCGUGCGAGCGUCACGGGCCCUUGUCUCGUGCGAGCGUCACGGGCCCUUGUCUUGUGCGAGCGUCACGGGCCCUUGUCUCGUGCGAGCGUCACGGGCCCUUGUCUCGUGCGAGCGUCACGGGCCCUUGUCUCGUGCGAGCGUCACGGGCCCUUGUCUCGUGCGAGCGUCACGGGCCCUUGUCUCGUGCGAGCGUUACAGGCUGUUGCUAUGUAGGAGCGCUGCGGGCCGUUGUUUCGUGCAAACGUUACGGGCCCUUGUUCCGGGCAAGCGUUACGGGCCCUUGUCUCGUGCGAGCGUUACGGGCCGUUGCUAUGUAGAAGCGUUACGGGCCGUUGUUUCGUGCAAGCGUUACUGGCCCUUGUUCCGUGCGAGCGUUACGGGCCCUUGUCUCGUGCGAGCGUUACGGGCCCUUGUCUCGUGCAAGCGCUACGGGCCGUUGCUAUGUAGGAGCGUUACGGGACCCUUGCCUUGUGCGAGCGUUAUGGGCCGUUGUUUUUUUU